rnacentral:lncRNA from 1 species
AAAAAUCACACAAGUAAUUUNUAUNCUGGUUCGAUUCAGAAGAAUCUACGUCCAGUCGUUAAUCACUAUAAACAGUGAUUAACAGUUCCACUAAAAAGGUGUUUCUCAAAUUACAAUUAUAGUGAAUGAAAGACAGAUAAAUAAACCUUCCUUCGACGAACGAACCGGAAGAAUGACACUCAGCCAACUCGAAGAGAACCGCU